CCCUGAUGCAGCGACGCCGCGUGGGUGAAGAAGCGCCUCGGCGCGUAAAGCCCUGUCAGCAGGGAAGAAAAUGACGGUACCUGAAGAAGAAGCCCCGGCUAACUACGUGCC
rnacentral:rRNA from 1 species